rnacentral:sRNA from 1 species
UAGGUGAUUCUUGAUGCAAUGCUAAAAA